GACAGAGGUGCCGAGCGUUAGGCGGAAUCACUGGGCUUAAAGCGUGUGUAGGCGGGCGAUCAAGUACCUUGUGAAAUCCCACGGCUCAACCGUGGAACCGCUGGGUAUACUGGUUGUCUUGAGCCGGCUAGGGGCGAGCGGAACAGACGGUGGAGCGGUGAAAUGCGUAGAUAUCGUCUGGAACGCCGAAGGUGAAAACAGCUCGCUGGGGCCGCGCUGACGCUGAGACACGAAAGCCAGGGGAGCGAACGGGG
rnacentral:rRNA from 1 species